UCCACUCUAUCUCUCUCAAUCUAGUAGAAACUAGAAGAUCUAUUUCUACUUUACAUUGGUUGCUAAGCCUAAAAAGAAAUAUUAUUUAGAGAAGAGGUUUUCCUUCGAGGGCACCCCUCAAUCUCUAUGAUAAUUUCUUGUCUUCUCCGGGGGCCAGAGGGGGUCUCCUUAUAUAGUCCUCCCCUUCUAUGCGUUUUUGGGUCGAUAGGCGAGGUGGUACUAUGUUAUUCUGGAUCCAAUGGGUCGGUGGAACGUCGUGUGCGAAGAGAGUCCGGAACGGAGUCCAGAGGGGGGCGGGCGCCCUGGGCCUGGCCCCUUUCGGGCUCCGCUUCCUUCCCGUGGCUUCUGGAGUCUUCUAGAUGGUAGAAAAUUGCGCGGUGGGUUGAUAUCUCUAUGUAAUCCCGACAUGUGGGCCUUUCUUCCUUAUUUCCUGAUAACCCCCUGCAGAAAUAGACAAACACCAAAACUCGUGGAAUUCUGUUAGAUAAAACCCUAAGUCUAGAUGUUGAUUUCAUUUGGAUCCUUUUCUUUGUUUAUUUGAUAAUUAAAUUUGAUACUUAAGGACCGUCAACAAACUCCCCCAAGCUUACCUCUUGCUCGUCCCUGAGCAAGGAUAGACUCAGCUAUGGAUCAUAAGUAGUUGCAAUAUCUUUAAAAAUUUGACGGUACACAUGCUUUUAAAUAAGAUCUCAUCUCUGGGUUAGAGUAAAUUGUUAAGACUUAAAACUUACUUACUUUACCUACACCAUAUGACUUGUAACCGUCACUUCUGUCUUGAGUGGUUAAAAGAUAGAACAGUCUAGCCAAGUGCCAUGUCUCUUAUUCUUGAUCAGCUAUAGCUCUAGGGUUUUUGCAGAUUUUCAAAUAAAACUCAGAAAUUUCUUGUAUGAUUCUCUCAGGUCUCUCUUUUGUGGUAUUUUUGGAUCCUUACCAAGGCAGUGAUGGUAUAUGCCUUCUCUCAAGAUAUGUAGUAUUUGUGGUAUGAAGCAUAGUGACAUUGUCUUCUCUCUCACCCUACUCUAAUAAGGCUUUAAUAUCUGGAGCUCAUAGGUGGGAGAUAAAGUAUACAUACUUACAAGACAUUUAUUGCAUAGUCAAACCAUGGAUCCAAAGAAACAAAUCAAUAAGCCAAAUCAAGAUGUGCAUGUGUGGCGAAUGAAUGGUGUAUGGUGAUGAUGGUGAUAACAAUGGUGGUGGAAGUCUAAUUCUACUUUGCUCUUUGAGGGGAUACAUACCUUCCUUGCUUUUGAAACUUUAUGAGGAGAAUGAGAUGCUCUUCUUUUUUUUCUCUCAGGUGGGUAUCUUGCACCCCUAAUUCUACUGUCGGACACUUGUCCAUUUUUACCUCUCGUCUCACAUUUUCUUUUCUUUCGAGGUUCCGAGCACUUGCUCCUUUUUAUUUCCUCGUAUCUCUUUUUUUCUUUUUUUUUUCAGAGCAUUCAUCUCUUGAGAUAAUAUAGCAAGUGGUAGUAACAAGAUAACUUGAGCAUUUAUUUCACAAGGGGAAACAGAAAUAUUUUUGGUUAUUCUCUCCCAUAUUAGGAGUAGAAUACUUUUGGGUGGUUUUGGAGAUGGAAAUGAGUGGAUAUAUGUGGAUGGUACUUCCGGAGUAGAAGUAGCAUAUAUGAGUGAACGUGCAAGUGAAUCUUGAUUUAACCACAUGACAAGCUCCUAAGGGUCUACACAGCUUGACCACACUCAAUGCUCAUAAGCAGUAAAUAGUAAAUGUGUGGCUCAAGGUCUAGCAAGCAUGUAUAUAUGGCUGUGGUAGGAAUUUAAACUCUCAUCAUACAGGAACUCAUCAUGCAUCAUUUUAAAGAUUUUCACAGAUAAAAUUCUCUAGAAUUCUAGCAUCUCUAGGAACAGAUAAACAGCAGCUCAACCUUCCCAUAUCGUAUCCGUUAACAACUUAGACUUCAGAUCAAGUUUUCAUCCCACAAGUUUAGGUCUAGAGCAAGCCUUAAAUUAUAACAGUUAUGUCUAAACUUGAGAGAGAACUUCAAAUUUGCAAAUUAGGCAGAGCAACUAUUCAUCAUAUCCAUGCUUAAGUUUUAUUAUUAAGAUUCAAAUUAACAUAGCCACUUUAUUUAUUUAUUAAACACACUAAGCAAAAUAUAUAUAAGCAUAAAAUCUUUAUUUGGUUUUUCAUAGUUAUGUGUAUUUAUAUUCUAAAAUAAUAUAAGUAUGAAGAUAGAUAGAAAUACUUAUCGAGGUAAAUGGGGGUGCUCUCCCCCAAGCUGAAUUUUGACGUAAUUUCUCUUGAUGUAGCUAGCAGGUGGCAGAGGUGUAUUUGAAAGCCAGCAGCAUUCUGACAGCAAUUAGAAUGUCCUCCGUCUGCUAGUCUUCUUGAUUCUUAAAUUCUGUGGAGCUCAAAUAGACAACAAAGCUUGUGGAACUGAUUAAGUGUUAGCAUAAAUAUCUAGCCUUUAUUAUCUUGAGACUCCUUAAUAGUUAUUACUCCCUGUUUUUAUAUUUUUGUUUUUAUAAAGUAGAAAAAUAUUUAUUUUAUUUUUAUGCCACCACAGUGAAUGUACUUAUGGGUUUUAUGCCACUCGUCUACUCACAUGGGGCUUACUGUUUUUCACAUUUUUAUUUUCUUUUCAAGAUAGCAUGAACCUGAUUAACUAAGCAAACUAUAAUUGAAUAAUUGAAAGGAAAAGGAUAACUACCAAGUUUACCUCUUGGCAAGGCGUUCGGUGUUUUUAAGUCCUCCGAAUGGGACUCCUUGUGUUUUUAGUCGUCCUGGUAUUCGCUAGGUGGCGUAGUCGGUGAUUCCGGUGGCGCCUCCUCUUUGUGUAUAACUAUGUUCUCUUUCCAUACCUGACUCGGUGCUACGGUCUCCUCAGGACUGUUCGUUGUAUGUCUUCAGUCCUUAUCACUUCUCCUUCGUAGUCUACCCAUCCGUCCUUGAUGAUUUGCCUCCUCUGGUUGCGGUGGCGUUGUCUUCUUCUUGUCCUGACCUGCUUAGAAUCUUCAACUAUAUAGUUAGAAUCAUUAAAGUAGUGGCGUACCUUCUCAGAGGGGAAGUGCAUGUGGACAUCUCCGGUUCCAAUAUAGAUAAUGGCUUUGAUAGUGCUGAGGAACGGUCUUCCAAGGAUGGUGGAUGGAUCAUACUCGUCUUCUCCCAUGUCAAUGACCUGAAAAUUGUCUGAAGCUGAAUGUAUCUUGGUUGUAGGAGCAUGGUUCCAUGCAGGAGCUGAUAAGUGACUGCGGCCAUUAUGUUGUCGUUAGAUCCGGUGUCGCAAGCAUCUUCUAGAAGUUGUAUCCAUCAAUGGAGCACUGGAUGCUUGGCAUACUUGGGUCGUCCUUUUUGGUUAGGAACGGUGACUUAAGUUGACGAUCUUGACCCCUUUGAACUGCAGUGACCAUCUUAGCUGACUCAGUCCACAUUUGCUUGUUCUUGUUCCUCCUGUUGGUCCUCUUCCUUGGUUCAUGUCGGGUUUGCUCUGAAGCUUGUGUAGUCUUGUUCUUGAAGGAAACUCUCCUUCUUCCCCUUGAUGUAGAGACUGAUCUUGGCAGCAUUAGCGUAGAUGACUGCUCUGGUGUUUAGGAAUGGCCUCCCUAAGAUGAUGGGUGCUCUCUCCUCACUACCAGUCUCUAUCACCACGAAGUUUGCUGGAGUGUACAAGGUACCAACUCGGACACAGAGGUUCUUCAAUAUUCCUUUGGGAAGCUAAGUGUCUAAUCUCCAUUGUGUUUGUGCUCGUAGAUCUCGGUUCUUCACUUGAUGGAAUCUGAGAGUUGUAAAACGCCUUCACGUUUCUCAAAAUGUGUCCUGCUCAUAGAGACAAGGCUUAGAUCAAGUGCAUGGGCCCUGUUGGUGGAAAACACCAACAGAACCAAAAGUGUAUUUGUUCUUCUCUAACCUUAAGCAUAUUGAGCAAGACAAAGUUGAUGGAUCAUGAGUGUAGCAUUUAAAACAUUUGUUAGAUCAGAUGGCUCAACCUAAUGGAAAGA
rnacentral:lncRNA from 1 species